UGCUCACUGAUAAGCUUUUACGAUUCUGCCCAUUUCCAAUGGCUUUUGCAACCAGGAAGAAACUCCAGCAAACUCUGAACUGCACAAGGAAAAAGAAACGGAGGCAGUUCCGUAACUGAAGCAGGGUAACACGGAGCCGUGAGAAAGUCACAUUAAAGAGCGAGCCAAGCACAGCACCAGUGACCUGUCAAGACUGUUUUCCUCUGAAAACUGCCGUGAUCGAACUGGAGCGGGAAGACAUGGAUGGGGACGCUGCAGGAGAAAACACAAACCCAAGCAAACCACGCACGGAGCGUCGUGGGCUGAGCUGUUUGGCAGGUCCCAAAUCCCACAAGGUUUACCCCUCAAACUGCCACACACUGCUCCCCCUCACCACACAGCUCACAAACACAAAAGGGGAGACUUGUUCUGGCAGGAAACAUCCACAGCCCCACACUGCUCCCCACAGGUGUGACCAACACUCCUUGUGACAACCAGCACCAUCCAACCUCCAACUACAGACUGAUCAGCACAGGUGGAUCGGCCAGACCUGAAGGUUCCACAGAUGGGAGCUGGACCCGAGCAGAGAGAAGAGCCACCAAAAGCUUCCCUGGCACUGCCAGCAGUGCCCUCACCAAGCCACCCAGGUUAGAUGCCAAGUGUGUGUGGGGACGUGAGUGUGCAUCCCCAAAGGAAUGAGUCAGCAAACCAAACACCCUGCCCCUGUCAGCAGCCUGCAGGGAGACAGAGAUAACAUUAUUUCUUCUCUCUCUGCAACCUGUGAAGCCUUCAGACACUGCAACUGUAGUGGCCAAGUAAACAGCAAACCAGGAAGGAGACUUGGUCCCAGGUGAUGCUCUCGCAGCCCGUACACAAAUGCGUGAAUAAACAGACCUAAUGUGACCGA